AUUGAACGCUGGCGGCAGGCCUAACACAUGCAAGUCGAGCGGCAGCGACUUAACUGAACUUUCGGGGAACGUUAAGGGCGGCGAGCGGCGGACGGGUGAGUAAUGCCUGGGAAUAUGCCUGAUGUGGGGGAUAACUAUUGGAAACGAUAGCUAAUACCGCAUAAUCUCUUCGGAGCAAAGAGGGGGACCUUCGGGCCUCUCGCGUCAGGAUUAGCCCAGGUGGGAUUAGCUUGUUGGUGAGGUAAUGGCUCACCAAGGCAACGAUCCCUAGCUGGUUUGAGAGGAUGAUCAGCCACACUGGAACUGAGACACGGUCCAGACUCCUACGGGAGGCAGCAGUGGGGAAUAUUGCACAAUGGGGGAAACCCUGAUGCAGCCAUGCCGCGUGUGUGAAGAAGGCCUUCGGGUUGUAAAGCACUUUCAGUAGGGAGGAAGGUAGUGUAGUUAACACCUGCAUUAUUUGACGUUACCUACAGAAGAAGCACCGGCUAACUCCGUGCCAGCAGCCGCGGUAAUACGGAGGGUGCGAGCGUUAAUCGGAAUUACUGGGCGUAAAGCGCAUGCAGGCGGCCUGUUAAGUCAGAUGUGAAAGCCCGGGGCUUAACCUCGGAAUUGCAUUUGAAACUGGCAGGCUAGAGUCUUGUAGAGGGGGGUGGAAUUUCAGGUGUAGCGGUGAAAUGCGUAGAGAUCUGAAGGAAUACCAGUGGCGAAGGCGGCCCCCUGGACAAAGACUGACGCUCAGAUGCGAAAGCGUGGGGAGCAAACAGG
rnacentral:rRNA from 1 species